CGGGGCGUGUUGACGUGUGUGUGUGUGUUGGUGAGCAGCGUUCAUUGCAAGGUGUGUUCCUCCAUAUUUACCGCAUAAAAUGAAGACAAAGAUUCUUGUGUUGCCCUGUAAUGUGUUGUUCUAUGGCUGUGUUGUUGUCAGUGCUAAGAGGCUGGGGGAGGGAGAGGCUUAGUGAAGCAGACUAUGGUGAUGCCAAGGUUAUUUACUUUGUUGAAUCUCGUCGACUACGGACACAGCUGAGGUGGACCUCCGCUGCUUCCCACUGGCUCCUCUCCUCUUGCUGAAGGGAAACAACAAAGGAGAGGGGAGGAACAUGCCAUCCCAACCCCCAGGCAGUACAGAGUGUGAUUAUACAACUAGUAAUACAUGUGGAGGCAGUACCAAGAAACGAUAAAGACACAAUGGCAGGAAUGAAUGCACAACAAGGGAGGGGGGCGGUACCUGCCGGCCUCCCCCUGGGCAAUGAUGAUGUGCUGUCCGUGGCAGUGUUCACCCACGAGGCGCCCCAGCUGGUGAUGCUGUGCCGGGUGUGUUGUUCCCUGAGCAGUAAUUAUGCUGUGCUCCAGGCAUUACCCGGUGGGCGUGCUGCUUGACCUCCCCUGACCCGGAACCUCACGGCACACUUCCCAGAACAGGACCUCAUCCACUAACCCUCAAGGCAUUACCUGGGGGGCAUGCUGCUUGACCUCCCCUGCAGGGUCGCCUUGCUGCCCUGGAACCUCCCGGCACACUUCUCACACUUCCCAGAACAGCACCUCAUCCACUGCCCCUCAAGAGGUUGUUGAGUCACUCUUCACGUCCUC